rnacentral:rRNA from 1 species
AUUGAACGCUGGCGGCAGGCCUAACACAUGCAAGUCGAGCGGAUGAAGGGAGCUUGCUCCUGGAUUCAGCGGCGGACGGGUGAGUAAUGCCUAGGAAUCUGCCUGGUAGUGGGGGAUAACGUCCGGAAACGGGCGCUAAUACCGCAUACGUCCUGAGGGAGAAAGUGGGGGAUCUUCGGACCUCACGCUAUCAGAUGAGCCUAGGUCGGAUUAGCUAGUUGGUGGGGUAAAGGCCUACCAAGGCGACGAUCCGUAACUGGUCUGAGAGGAUGAUCAGUCACACUGGAAGUGAGACACGGUCCAGACUCCUACGGGAGGCAGCAGUGGGGAAUAUUGGACAAUGGGCGAAAGCCUGAUCCAGCCAUGCCGCGUGUGUGAAGAAGGUCUUCGGAUUGUAAAGCACGUUAAGUUGGGAGGAAGGGCAGUAAGUUAAUACCUUGCUGUUUUGACGUUACCAACAGAAUAAGCACCGGCUAACUUCGUG